CUUACACAUGCAGUCGAGGGGCAGCACAAUGGUAGCAAUACUUGGGUGGCGACCGGCGCACGGGUGAGUAACACGUAUGCAACCUGCCUUCUACCGGGGGAUAGCCCGGAGAAAUCCGGAUUAAUACGCCAUAAAACAGGGAUGCCGCAUGGCAAUAUUUGUUAAAGAUUAAUCGGUAGAAGAUGGGCAUGCGUUCCAUUAGUUAGUUGGUGGGGUAACGGCCUACCAAGGCGACGAUGGAUAGGGGUACUGAGAGGUAAAACCCCCACACUGGAACUGAGACACGGUCCAGACUCCUACGGGAGGCAGCAGUGAGGAAUAUUGGUCAAUGGUCGAGAGACUGAACCAGCCAAGUCGCGUGAAGGAAGAAGGUAUUCAGUAUUGUAAACUUCUUUUGCAGGGGAAUAAAGUGAAGGACGUGUCCUUUUUUGUAUGUACCCUGCGAAUAAGGAUCGGCUAACUCCGUGCCAGCAGCCGCGGUAAUACGGAGGAUCCGAGCGUUAUCCGGAUUUAUUGGGUUUAAAGGGUGCGCAGGCGGGCGAUUAAGUCAGCGGUGAAAUUUCCAUGCUCAACAUGGUAACUGCCGUUGAAACUGGUUGCCUUGAGUGGAAAGGAGGCAGGCGGAAUUCGUAGUGUAGCGGUGAAAUGCAUAGAUAUUACGAAGAACCCCGAUAGCGGAGGCAGCUUGCCAUUUUCUUACUGACGCUGAGGCACGAGAGUGUGGGUAUCGAACAGGAUUAGAUACCCUGGUAGUCCACACAGUAAACGAUGAUUACUGACUGUAUGGCCUGCAAAGGCUGUGCGGUUAAGCGAAAGCGUUAAGUAAUCCACCUGGGGAGUACGCCGGCAACGGUGAAACUCAAAGGAAUUGACGGGGGCCCGCACAAGCGGAGGAACAUGUGGUUUAAUUCGAUGAUACGCGAGGAACCUUACCCGGGUUUGAAAUGCAGCGGAAUAUGGUGGAAACAUCAUAGCCGGCAACGGCUGCUGUGUAGGUGCUGCAUGGUUGUCGUCAGCUCGUGCCGUGAGGUGUCGGCUUAAGUGCCAUAACGAGCGCAACCCUUACCGUCAGUUACUAACAGUUAAAGCUGAGGACCCUGUCGGGACUGCCGCCGCAAGGUGUGAGGAAGGCGGGGAUGACGUCAAAUCAGCACGGCCCUUACGUCCGGGGCGACACACGUGUUACAAUGGGGGGUACAGCGGGCAGCUACCUGGCAACAGGAUGCAAAUCUCGAAAACCCCUCCCAGUUCGGAUCGAAGUCUGCAACCCGACUUCGUGAAGCUGGAUUCGCUAGUAAUCGCGCAUCAGCCAUGGCUCGGUGAAUACGUUCCCGGGCCUUGUACACACCGCCCGUCAAGCCAUGGGAGCCGGGGGUGCCUGAAGUACGCAGCCGCAAGGAG
rnacentral:rRNA from 1 species